GAUAGGGACAGUUGGGGGCAUCAGUAUUCUGAAGCGAGAGGUGAAAUUCUUGGACCUUCGGAAGACUAACAGCUGCGAAAGCGUUUGCCUAGGAUGUUCUCUUUAAUCAAGAACGAAAGUUGGGGGAUCGAAGACGAUCAGAUACCGUCGUAGUCUCAACUACAAACUAUGCCAGCUAGGGAUUGGUGGACGUUUAUUUACGACUCCAUCAGCACCUUAUGAGAAAUCAAAGCAUUUGGGUUCCGGGGGGAGUAUGGUCGCAAGGCUGAAACUUAAAGGAAUUGACGGGAGGGCACCACCAGGAGUGGAGCCUGUGGCUUAAUUUGACUCAACACGGGAAAACUUACCAGGUCCGGACAUAGUAAGGAUUGACAGAUUGAUAGCUCU
rnacentral:rRNA from 1 species